GCGAGCGUGGCGGAAUAGGCAGACGCGCCAGACUUAGGAUCUGGUGGGAGAAAUCUCGUGAAGGUUCAAGUCCUUUCGCUCGCACCA
rnacentral:tRNA from 1 species